rnacentral:rRNA from 1 species
CCUACGGGAGGCAGCAGUAAGGAAUAUUGGUCAAUGGCCGGAAGCCUGAACCAGCAAUGCCGCGUGAAGGUCAGUGCCCUAUGGGCGGUAAAGUUCUGUUGUACGGGAACAAUAAUGGUCACGGGUGAUCAGUCGUGAGUGCCGUUCGACUAAGCAUCAGUUAACUCCGUGCCCGUGGCAGCGGUAAUAUUGGGGGUGAAAGCGUUAUCCGGAUUUAUUGGGUUUAAAGGGUGAGUAGGCUGGGAGGUAAGGCAGCGGUGGAAUUGCACCGCUCAACGGGGUGAAGUGCCAUUGAUACUGCCUGGCUGGAAUGCGGAUGAGGUGGGAGGAAGGUGUGGUGUAGCGGUGAAAUGCAUAGAUAUCACGCAGAACACCGAUUGCGAAGGCAGCUCACGAAUCCGCUAUUGACGCUGAUGCACGAAAGCGUGGGUAGCAAACAGGAUUAGAUACCCCAGUAGUC